GGAAGGGUUAAGGAUUUACCCGGUGUGAGAUAUCACAUUGUUCGAGGAACCCUAGAUGCUGUCGGAGUAAAGGAUCGUCAACAAGGGCGUUCUAGUGCGUUGUAGAUUCUUAUCCAGGACUUGUAUCAUUUGAUGAUGCCAUGUGAAUUGCUAGAAACAUGUGAAGUGUAUGGCUAACCCAAUAACAAAAGUUUCGUAAGGGGACUGGAGCAGGCUACCAUGAGACAAAAGAUCUUCUUUCUAAAGAGAGAUAUAUAUGAAUCCAAAUCUGCCGAAUCACUCAUGUUAUGAUCUUCUACAUCCUGGGUCUUCCCAUUCCGUCAUCUGGCUUAUGUUCUUCAUGUAGCAUUCAGACCGAAUGACUCUAUGAAAUUACGUCGAUACUUCCACAUAUUAUGGGUAACGUAGGAGACAUCUCUAUUUUUCCCCCGGGGAAUCUUUAGAAUUCCCACUGCUUAACUUUCAAUUCGCCUCUGACCAUCAAAUGAAAUGUGAAUAACCCGUCCUCCUCUCUUUAAAAUAAGGGGCGCUUUCGGUUCUGUCGGCAUUUUUAGCUCUUAAUCUUCGGGGAUUUUAUUUUAGACCUUCCCGACCUCCGAUUCUAGAUUUGUUUGUUGCAUUGCGAUCGGGGAGGUCAAGAGUACAUCCCGGAUGAGUUUCAGAAUUUUUGGAACUUGUUUAAACCAAGUUUGGGGUUGCAAAAUAGUGUAUCAACGCAAUUAUGGUGCGCCGCGUUGCCUAUCGCAUCGAUAAAUACUUUCCCAGCUCUCAGAGUCAUUCCAGUGAGUCAAUGAAAACUCGAUGUGGGGCGCGGGGAGUUGUCUGUAGCGUCGAUGCCCAGUUUUAGUCAUUAAAUAUCCGCAUUAAGAGGGGUAGAUUGGUCAUUUUCCCACCAUAUGUAUACUCUAUAACACGGGAUUAAGCUCCCAAAUAACCAUAAUACUCAUACUUUUCCCAAAAUUACUCAAGAACUCUCUCAAGGAUUUCAAAAUAAAAACCCAGGUAGAUCAAGAUUCAAUCGUAGGUUUUUGAAAUUGAUCGCAUAUUUGGUAUCCCCAGACCGUAGGCUUCAAGAAGCAUCCUUUAAAUUCCUAAAUAGAGGUACACGGGGUUUAUCCUAAAAACUACAUGGGCUUGAAAUUGUCAAAGCAUGAUUUAAAGAUUUUGAUGCAUGUAUUUUAUGGGGGUUUUGAAAAAUAUACUAUUGAUUAUGUAUUUCAAAGGUUUUAAUGUUUGCUAAUGCUUUAGACUUGUGGUUUUUCCCCCUUGAUUUAUGUAUACAUAUAUGUAUGAAAUUGAUAUUUGAGAUUUAUUCGAGAGCAUGAAUUAUGGACUCCCUCUCUUGUAAUAAUUAAAGAUUUUGGCUUUGUUGAAAAGAGAGUUGAAAUGCAUGUUUGUGAUUUGAAAUGUCAUAGCACUUGAAAUAUCAUUUUAGAGCUAUUGAGAGGGCGUCUUGAUAUAUUAUGUUUUGUGUUAAAGAAGAAUUGCAUGAGAAAGAGAUUUUUGGGCAUGACCACCAUUGUUUGUAAAACUGUUGACAAAGAGUUUUCUUGCAUGUGUAUACAUGAGUUCUUGAAUUGUUUGAUUGAUAUGGUGGUCCCGAACUUAUGUAUUGAAAAAAAGAGAUUCUUGUAUGCUUACAAUGGCUCAGAGAUGUGAAUUGCAAGUCUAUGGUAUGACGAUACCAUAUGUAUUUAUGCCAUGACAGAGUAUGCUUUCAGAGUAUAUUUUCAGAGCAUGUUUUCAGACUUUGCAUGUUUUGAUUGAGUUUUUACAAAAGGGGCUUAAAUAGUGUUAAGUGGUUACCAGAAGAAGGCAUGAGUUCAAGCAACUCUUAGCCUGAAAUCGUAUUUGCCGAUACGGGUAGAUUAUUAUUGUACGCUGGCGACGGUCGUGUGGCGUAGUAGAUUCAGAGACUCCGACCCUUUCGGCACACUUGGGUUGGGGGAUUGGCUGCCAAGUUAAUGGUAGUUUCCAUAUAGCCCAUGGAAUUUUCAGAUUUGUAGGGUAUACCACUUAUCGCAGAAGUAAUACAAAGAGUACCAAAGAUUUCAGAUGUUUUCACAGAGUCUUUUAAAAUGCCCAUGGGAUUCUCACUAUACGAUUUGUUUAUGAACUGUUUUAAACUGCUCCCUUAUAUAUUGAAUAUAAACUGUUAUUUUGGAUUUGCUCUACGUGCCAGUACUUUUGUAUUGACCCCCUCCCCCUCCAACCUCUCAAGUUCUGAGGCUCAGUAUAGGGCCCAGAAAAGCAGUAGAUAAUUUAGAUCGCAGACCAGACCGGUGCAGUGGUGAGCCUUCUAUCUUCCAGAAGGCCUGUUUGAUUUCGAAUAUUUAUCUUUAGUCAUGUUUUGGUCUACUGGGGGCCUUGUCCCAGGAAUUCAGACAGUAUUUUUUUGAGAUUUAGUAGAGAUUUCGCAUACUGAGUCAGAUAUAUUUUUUUAUAUUUUUGAAUUUCAGUGUUAUGAUCACAUUCAUAUUGACCAUGUUUCCGUAUUAGAAUUCUAUUUCCGCGUUAUAUUUUAUUACAUGAAUGUUGUGCAUGAUUAUCAGAUCCAGAUGGACGUCCUGGGCCUUCAUGAUUCGGGAAUGCUCGUCACAGCCAGGGCCUCGGUUCGGGUCGUGUCAAAAAUCUUUCGGCACCUUCAGAAAAAUACUUCGAGAUAAAAAAUUGGAUGCUUAUUUUAGGGACAGCUGCUUUGGGAAAUUAAUAACGCUCAACUUACAUGUCAAUUAAGUGUAAGGCGGUCAUCAUCAAUAUAUUUACCCAACUUUUAGAGUCGGGGUCGAAUCUACAGGGAAUAAUGUGACUGACGAUUAAACUAAUUUGAAAUUAUAGGUCCGAAUUGAAUUUAAACUACUAAUGCAGAAAGAUAAAAAAAGGGAGGUUUUCAAUGAUUUACUAAAAUUUACUAUAUAUUUCAAUUUAUCAAUAUUAUGGGCAACUAGAGUUAUGGGUACCGAGAUGUGCAAAAAGAUAGGGUCGUGAAUCACUUUUAAGGUUCCAAGUUGAUACUUAAGUUGCAAGGAUAUUUGAAUCUUAUUGUUUACCCAUUUGUCUCCCGACCUCAAUAGGUGACUUAUCCUUUAGAUCUCCUGAACUUACAGGACGAAUUAUUUAUUCAACUGUUUCCUCAUGUAGAUAGAUCUGGUCAAGGUAUUUGUCCUUAAACUAAAGGUUAGAAGCUUUAGAGUCCAUGUAAAUCCAUUCAUUUUCCCCUAUCCACGUUCUCCCUAGAAAAGUAAUGUACCAUGUAAGCAAAUCCUCUCGAGUUAUUCGCCCUUAAACUUAAAGGAGUAACAUCUUUAAGAGUCCAUAGGAACUUCUGUGUUCUCAACAUGUACUUUCCUCCCGGAUAAGUGGAUGUACUUGGGCUUACUUUUAGAGUUGCGAACUAGAAGAAUCACUACAUUGCUCGACAAGUACCUUCCUCCGGGACAGAUACUUGCUUCAUUGAAGUAGCCUAAUGACACUUUUCUCCCGGACAUGUGUUGUUUUAGCGUUGACUCUUCCAGUUACAAACUAGAGAAAUCGUUACAUUGCUCGGCAAGCACCUUCUUCUCGGACAAGUGCUUGCUUCAUUGAAGUAACUCAACAACACAUGUGGUGACUUUCCUCUCGACAAAUAAUUGCUUCAUUGAAGGAACUCAACAACACAUGUGGUGUUAUAGUGCUGAUUUCAUCUAGUUUGCAAACACAAAAAGUGAUUAAAAACGAAGAAAGGUUUAUACAACAUCAAGUGUUCAUGGAACUCAAAGUAAAUUCACAACCCAAACUAGUUAAUCACAUCGAAACUCCCAUAACUCAAGUAAAGUAAAUUAGAUACUCAUGAUAUAUAAACCAACAACAUAUAUUGUAUUCAUAAUCAAAAUUAAGUAAUAAAACAUACCCAAAACAAAGCGUUAAUUGAAGGAGUUGAAAAACUUGCCUAAGAAUCCUAAGAGAGAUUUAUGUGUAUUUCUAUAUGUACAUUGUGUCUAUAUUAUCCCUAUUCUGUAUCUAAUGGUGUAGUAUAUGUAUGGUACUCUAUUUUACAUCUAUCCAAGUAUUGGUAGGUGUAUGUAGAUCAAUCUUCUGACCAAGACUUUCAAGCCUCCAAGUGUGAAUCCGCGUUCAGCCGCAACUGGCAAAAUUGACUACUGUGUUUGUUAGAAUACGUAGUCAAAUACUCCUUUUUAUGGUCCACGCGCCUAUAUUAUAGAAAUUUAGACUUAUUAUGAUUCCAUAAAUAUUUUGUAAAAUUCUAUAUCACUGUUCACGCUCUCAAAACAGCCAUGUACAUUUCAGGACUCCAAAUGGAGUCGAUUUCUGUAUUUUGGUCACGUUGAGCCAUUUUGAGCCUUAUUGAGUUGUUUCCACUUGAUUUGAAGCUUGUAUUCACUUCAUAUAUCAUCAUAUUCCAUCAAAAAAUCAUCCUAUAACAUUAAAAACAGCAAUUCAAAGCUCAAAACAACACAACAUCCAACACGAUGAACUCAAAACACAAGCUAAGCAUAGGCUAAUUUUCACUUAUAUCUUUAGCUAAUUGUUUUGACUAUUUUCUUGAUCCAAUGGACCCUUAAACAUUAUAAACAAUUUGUUUCAUUUAUAAAUACAUACUAACAACCUUAGUAAUCUAUUAACACACGUGAGAACCUAACACAAUAGACUAGACAACACCGAGCUCAAGCUAGUCACACUAGUUUUCUCGGUUGAAUUCUAAAUGGUCACAUUGAAUCAAAAAUUAUUUGGAAACACCAUUAAAUGUUGUAAAAACAUAAUUUGACACAAAAAUUCUUAUUUAUAUUAUUAUCAACACAUAUAGCAUAAGAAUCAUCCUCAAAACAAGGCUAAAAAGGUUAGAAUAGUGAUGCUAGAACGCAUAAAUACACCCAACAUCAGAAAUAUCUUAAUUUGCCAGAGGACAACAAUGCUUGUUUCUAAAUGAAAAUGGUAUAUGAACUUCUCAAGAGUAAUUUUAUGUGUGAAAACAAAGAUAAGAUGGAUAAGGUGUGGAUAAAUUACUGUGGCAUGCCCGUUUGUUUUGAUUGGAAGGAGUUUGCCAUAGUUAUUGGACUAAAAUGUUAUCCUCCUUUUCAAGUUAUACCUAUUAUAACGCAAAAAAAGCACCCCGCACACUCAAAAAAGUUAAAGGAGGCAAGCCGUGUGAUCUUGAUAACCUGGUGUCCAUUGUUGGUCGAAGCUUCAAAAAUAAAAAUUUGAUAGAAGCGUUGAAAGGUAAAGAACUUUCAAAGAAGCACAAGCAGUCAUUGUGCUUGGUUUGGUUUUUACAUAAUAUUCUUUGGGCGAGAGACAUUAACAACAAUAUAAGUGUUGGUUUAAUAAAGCACUCCGAGGAUCUUGAGGCAUUUAACAGCUAUCCUUGGGGUUAUGAAAGCUUUAAAAUGACUGUCCAAUAUUUGUUGACUCCAUUGGCACCAAAGACAAUCAACUUAUAUGGCCUUUCAUGGGAUUUCAUGGUAAAUCUUUCAUUUCUUUCUUUUAUUAUGAUACCAUUUAUUUUUUUUACUCAAUGAUGGUUUUGAUUUAUUAUCAUUAUUUUAUAGGCUUGGGUGUUUGAAGUCAUUCCUCAUUUGAGACAACAAGUGAACUACCAGGAAGAAGUUUCCUGUCCAAGAAUCUUGAGAUGGUUGUUGGCCAAAACUGAUAAAAAUGCAAAAUUUCUUGACCUUUUCAACCCCCCGAAGGAUGCAGUAAGUAAAACUAUGAUUAAGUUUUUAUUUUAGUUAAUGAUUUUUUUGAAUGAUCUAAUCAUCAUUCUAAUAUAUGUAAUGAUUUAUGUUAGAUUGUGCAUCCGUUGCUAGUUCCAACCAAUCGAUAGUUGAAGAUGCCAUUUGUUCUUACUUUACAGUCUGUGCGAACUUUAUCGUACUCUAAAUUCAUCGACAGAAUAAAAAUAGAAUUGUUUGGAGCAACAUCCAUUACAAGAAAAACAAUUUUAGAGGGUGGGCUUGUCGUUGUUGUUGGUCUUAGCGGUGAUGGAGAUGUUGGUGGUAGUAGUGGUGCUGCUGUUGGUACUAAUGAUGCUCCUCUUGCGGUAUUUAAACAAACCAUUAUGAGUAUGAUCAUAUUGGUUAUACAGAUUUUGCCUCUCCCAGCAAAUGUUCUGCAUACAAAUGUCAAUACUGCAGGGCAAAACAUAAUAUAGUGAUUAAUGCUAUUAAUGCAUUAAUUGCAUCUGUAAGGAAAUUGACAUCUAUGAGGGGUGUCAUCCAUCAAAGAGGAUUUUAUUUCCAUCCACUCCAUUAGAGAUUAUGGCUAAGAGGAGAAGGAAAGUGAUUUCCAAGGCAUUAUCAAGCAUCCAAAAGAGCAAAAUUGCAACUCAUCUGUCCGUGUGUUGCACUGAGCAAUAUACAAUGUCCAAAAGAGAGGCACGAGCUGAACAAGGUGAAUAUAUAUGUCUUCCAACUGCAAACGGACACAUUUCUAUUUUCGCGGAUGUCACAUCUGCUGAAAAUUAUCAAACAGAUUAUAUCUCUGUUGCAACAGUUGUAUAACUUGUUGCACCAGAUAAAGUACCUGUUACGACAUAUGUCUCAUCUAUUUUAGCAAAUCAAAUAGCUCUUCGUACCACUUCUAUUUGUACCAACAGAUGACCUAUCUUCUGCAAUAGAUAAGUCAUAUAUUGCAACAGAUGGUUCAUCCAUUGAAAAUUAUAAGGUCUUCCUUAUGUAGACAUUUGACCCAAUAAUUGAUUCAUUGUUGCAACAAAAAUAUAAUCUGUUUGGGACAAUUUAAAAUAGGAGGAAGACCUGUUUGAUUUGCUAGAACAGAUGCAUUAUCCUUUUCCAUUCUGGCUUUCCAGGUGGAUGUAGAAGUUACUGAUGAACAACAUUGAUAAUAUUCUAAUGAAAAUACGGAGAACAAAAAGCGCAAAAACCGUACUGAAGCGACAAUAAAGAUCCAUGACGAGCAAAUCCAAAUUUCAUAGCACCGGAUGAACAACUUGUCUAUAUUGAGUAGAUCUUUAUAGCUUAAGUUUGUCAAAGUAAUAACCUCUCACCCCUCCUUAGGAAUCCUUAGCAUCAAUACUUAAAUUAUUGAUGUAUUUGUUGAGAUCUGUACCUAUAAUAAUUUUUUUACAUCUUAUUUAUUCGUUGAUUUUAUUUCAGCUAAUUUCUUAAGACUUCAUUUUAUUUUAUUUUGUCUAUGUAUUUUAUCUUUUCCUUAGAUUUGAACUUAUUAAUCGAAAUGGAAUACUAGAUUCAAAUAUAGCAACUGAUAAUGUAUCUGUUUUAAUUGACCAAAAUCAUAUAUGUUGUAACAGGUAGGUAAUAUUUUGGAAUUUAUCGAACAUGUCUUCCCACUGCUGUAACAGAUAGACUUAGAUAGAACAAUGAAACACCGACAUAAUGCAACAGAUGAUCAACCUAUUGCAAUAGAUAAAUUAUAUGUCAGAACAGGUAGAAUAUCUGUUACAAUGGAUGGAAAAUCUGUUGCAUUAUAAAAAUUCAAAUUUCAUUGGACAUAAAAAAAUUGCCACGUUCAUUUUAAACAUGUAAAAUAAAAUUGGCACAAAUGUGUCAGGUUGACACUUUUUGCUGACUUGGCGACUGAUUUUUCCCCCAAUGGUUAUUUUUUUUUCCAAUGUCUUAUAUAUUCAUCUUCUUUCUAAAAUUUAACCUUAAAUUCCAAUUCUUCUUCUUCGUCGUCAUCUUUUUUAUCUAUCCAAAUAUUCUUCAAAGUAUUUACAUUUGGUCUUUCUUUUCUUCAUCUUUUUUUCAUUUUUUUCCAACUGAGCUUGACAAUGUCGAGCGCAGCUUUCACUAUUUUUUGUGAUAACGGUUUUCGAUAUUGUAAGUGCGGUCAUGAAGAUUUAUUGAAGACUUCUUGGACUCAACAAAAUCCAGAUUGUAGGUUUUUUACUUGUAAGAUUUCAAAGGUAAUAUUUUUUUUAUUUAAUUAGUUGAUUAAUUAUUGACUUGUAAUUGUUUUGUAAUUGUAUUCUCGUUUUUAUAGAAAUUGGGUGGAUGCGAUUACUUUGAUUGGUAUGAAGAACGACACCCUUCACAAGCAAAUCGUGUAAUCUGGAGUUUGUUGAAGAAAUUCAAGGUUUCUGAAUAGAAACAAAAUCGAUCAAGAAGAUACUUCAUUGUUGUCGUUAUUUCUACUGAUUUGGUGGUGUUGGACACAUGGAUUUUCAAGCCUAAUUGCUGAAAUUUUCAUGGUGGUGUAUUUUCUACUGGUUUGGUGUUGUCGAGCACAUGGAUAUUCAAGCGUGUAAUUGCUGCAAAAUAUCAAACAAAUUUAGGCAUAUGUUGUAAAAUUUAGGACAACUGUUGGAAAUUAUCGAACAGAUCUUCCUGCUGUUGCAACAGAUUAGACUUAGAUUAGAUAGAAAUAAAUAACAUCGGUGUAAUGAAAUAGAUGGCCAACCUAUUGUUAUUGAUAAAAUAUCUGCUAGAACAGAUAGAAUACAUUUUACAACAGAUUGACAAUCUAUUGCAUUAUAAAAAACUCAACUUUUAUUCAUUAUGAAUUAAUUAUUGUCACUACAUGUACAUGUAAUUUAAAGUAAAAUAAAGUGUGACUUGAAAUAAAAAUUGUUAUUUCACAGGUGAUUCUAUAUACAUAGACUCCAAGCAUCCAGUUAGUACCUCAUAAGUCCAGACCUCUUGCAGGUUUGCCAUAGUGUUAUCAUACAGAAAGGUUGUUAGCUCAACCAUUUCUGUGUCGGUCAACAAACAUUCGAUGUGUGCAAGGGCGUGUGAGCUGCUCGCUUAACCGACAUAAUUUUUUAAAAGGAUUAUGUUGUUUUGACCUAAAAAAUCCCAUGGUUUCUUCAUCAACACUUCCUUUGGCAAAUAUUCAUCAGUUUACUCUCCCUCAACAAGAAGGGCAACAACUCCAUCAGUGGCUCCACGACGAGAAAAAAAUUGGCAUGGUCGACAAGAGGUUCAUUGUAGUCAUAAACAUUGAUCUUUCCCUCCUCGAGUAGUAUCUCAACAUCCCGAUAAUGUAUGUCAUUCACUCAAAUGAUUGCAAAAAUCCUCUUUGCCUCGGUCCAGCUCUUGCCGUGUAGAUUUGGCCUCUUCCCUAUAACAUAUUUUAUCAUUUCUUCUUCAUCCAAGUCCAACGUAGAAGCUAAUAAAUCAAGUCUCGCGCCAUAUUCUAAUGCAGCUGUAUUGAAUUGAUUGUACUUAUCCUUGAGCUUCUUGCAAAAGUUGAGGUCCAUUAUUUUAUCGGCAGCGUCAUAAGCUUUUGGGUACGUUAAUUGUCUUUUCCUCAUGAGGCAGAGAAUUUUGUCAACAUGCUGUGAUAUAAGAAGACAAUUUUUAAAUAGGUUAGAAAUUAUAAAGAUGGUCCAUCUAUUGCACAGGGUUAUCUGAAUUAAUAAUCCAACGCAACAAAUAAAUAGUAAGUUGUGACAGAACUACUACCAGUUGCACCAGAAUACCCAACUGCUGCUCUAACACAACUUAUGCAACAAAUAGACAGUAAGUUCCAACAGAACCACUGCUAGUUGCACCAGAAUAUCUAGCUAUUGCGACAUAUUCAUAUCUGUUGUGUAGCUUCUUCUUCAUGGGGUAGAUUAGAUUAGAAGGUUGGGUUAGGAAAAGUAAACUUUCCUUGUCCUCGUAAUACACGCGCAUAUCUGUCAUAGUCUGGAAGUCUUGGGGGGGAAAGGGAGGCCUGGGGUAAUCUGUGCACCUGGCUUGGAAUUCUUGGCCUGUUGCAGAUCCCCCUUCUCUUUGGUGCCAAGUUCAGUGUAUAUGUCCACCCUUUGAACUUUAAUAGCUUUUUGAGAGGGAGGAGCUGCAAUUAUUUUUGAUUUCCGAUAGGAGAGUACGUCGGUUAUUUAUCUUUUCUUCCUCCUAACCAAUAAUGUAGGAGUAUAUCGCUCCCUCAACUUCUUGGAUGGUAUGACACCCCUCUUGGAUUUGAAAUCCUCGAUAGCUUUAGAGAUAGCCUCUACUUUCAAAGAAUUUAUCCUGGUUGUCCUUGUACUCUUCACAUUCACAACGAGAACACGAGGGUAGAGAGGGAUGAGAGGGACCCAUGUAAAGGUGAAAAUGGGUGUUUUUAAACAUAUAUAAUAUUUUUAGCAUCAACAUGCUUAUCAUCAUGAGUGGUAGCAUCAUCAUCAUGCCUACCACCAACACCAACGACUCCACCAAAAGAAGCACCAGGAUCUGCCUUAGUAGGUUGGUCAUGAAGAGCCUCAACAUUAGGCAGACCUUGCCUAACUGCUCGUCUUCUUAUGGCUGUUGCUCCAGCCAAUUCCUUCCUUAUUAAAUCUACCGUUGGGUCUGAUAUAGUAUCAAUAUGACCUUGAGUAAUAUAAAAAGUCAUCAUCAACUCCUCCUCAGUAGGCACGAUCCAUGGAUGCAUAACCUAGAAUAAAAAUACAAAUACAAAUACAUUUAAAUCAUAUAAUAUAAUAAUUUUCACAGUUGGGUUAACAUUUUAACAGUCAAAUUCUACAACAGAUUAGCAAUAUGUUGUAUCAGAUUACCCAUCUAUUGUAUAGUUUAUAGUAGAUGGUUAAUCUGUUAGGAGCCGGGUUCACAGAACCAGAUGGGUAAUCUGAUGCAAGAUAUCAAUCGUCUGUCGCAACAAAUUAUCCAUCUAUUGGACCGGUUGGCACAAGAUAGGUAAUUUGUCGCAACAGAUAUUUCAUCUAGUGCAUCAGAUAUAAUAUAUGUUCAAUAUAUUUCCAUGAGUAUUUUACUUGAGAAAUACUUGAAGAAGACGUACUGCAUCAUUCGGAGGGUUAAAGAUAUCAGCCUCCAUAAUUUUGGUGUUGAACUUUAUAGCCAACCACCUAAACAUCCUUGGAUGAUAAACCUCCUCCGGGUAAUCCAUUACCUACUUUCAGAGGAGAGAAAUGACUUCCAAUGCCCAAGCUUGAAAAAUGUAAACAGGAUGCCAGCAAAAAAUCUCAUAAUAAACUAUAUUCAACAUAAAUUAAUGGACAAGUAAAAAUAGAGAUUAAUUUUUUAAUCUUACCUUGAAAUCCCAAGGAAAGGCGUAUAAUGUGUUCGUCUUUGAGGAUAGCUCAUCAGUAAAUAUUGCACAGUCAAAUAGAAAAUGUUAUAUCCCUAGGGAUGAUUAUUGAAUUUAUCAAACCUCAGCACGUGCCAACAAAUCAUCUUCUAUGACCUUGUUGACGUCUCUUACCAAUAUAAUCUAAUGGGCAAACCAAACUAAGAACAGUUGCUCCCUGUACUGCUCUGGUAUGGUUUUAUCCACGAGAUCUGUCAACAAAUCUGAUGCUUUAUAGCCACGUCGAGCAAUGUCAAACAACCCAUCUAUUUUUUACUUGCAUUUUCUUGCCUUGGAUAUUUUGAGGGGUGGUGGUUCUUCUGGACAAUGGCAUCUCAAGCCCGUCACUAUGGCAAUCUCUUGCAAGACAAAGCAAAAUAGUAUGCCACAGUAGUUGAUCCAGAUUUUAUCCAUUUUAUUUUUGCCCCAUCCUCCGGAUCUUUAUCAUCCCCCACAUACUUAAUCCUGGGCUUGAGAAGACCAUAUACCAUCAUCGAAGGGAAACGAAAAUGGGGAGGGGGGUCCUCAGGCAGCUCAAGAGAGCGUCCAAAGUAGCUCUUCUUAAAAUGUCUGUCUAUGUUUUCGUUCUUCAUAAUUUCCCUAAAAUAAUUAAAAUUCCCCAUCUAACAUUUAAGUACAACAUCACUAGUUAGUUUUAGUUCUGCUUCUGGUUCAUUUAUCGGCAUCAAAACUUGAAACCUGCCAAUACUAAAAGUUUUGACAGGAUUAUGCUGGGAUGUCGAUAUAAUCCAUGCCCCAUUGGUGAUCCAUUAUCAUCAUGUUGAUGAUUAUCCUCUUUCUCUUUCUCACUUUCAUUUUCUUCAUCACCAUCUACAGACCCUUGUCCACCUCCCUCAAUAUUGUUUUCAUAUAUCUCCUCAGCUUCACUUUUCCCUGUUUGAGAUUGUUCAAGAAGCUCCUUCAAAUUUCUCUAUACUGUAGCCUUUUUUUCUAGGUGGUCGAGUUGAUCCGGUUUCACUUUUUUUUCUUUUGGGAGACAUGUUUUACCUAAAAACAACAGAAACAAAAAAUUACAUUACAAUUGAUGUACGUAUAAAUUUUAAAAAUAAAUUACAAACACCACCAAUACAGAACACCAACAGCCACCACCA
rnacentral:lncRNA from 1 species